GAUGAACGCUGGCGGCGUGCUUAACACAUGCAAGUCGAACGAACGGACGAGAAGCUUGUUGCUCUGAUGUUAGCGGAGGACGGGUGAGUAACGCGUGGAUAACCUACCUGUAAUACUGGGAUAAUUUCGGGAAACCGGAGCUAAUACCAGAGAAGAUUUUGCACCAUAUGGUUCAAAAGUGAAAGACGGCCUUGCUGUCACUUCUAGAUGGAUCCGCGCUGCAUGAGCUAGUUGGGAAGGUAACGGCUUACCAAGGCAACGAUGCAUAGCAGACCUGAGAGGGUGAUCGGCGACACGGGAAGUGAGACAGGGUCCAGACUCCUACGAGAGGCAGCAGUAGGCAAUCGGCCGCAAUGGGGGAAAGCCUUACAGAGCAACGCCGCGUGAGUGAUGACGGUGUUCGGAUCGGGAAGCCCGGUUAUUGGGGGAGAACAUAUGUGUCAGGAGCUGUGCAGAUCUUGACGGUAACUGAUCAGAAAGCCCCGGCUAACUACGUG
rnacentral:rRNA from 1 species